UACAGAGGGGGCAAGCGUUGUUCGGAAUUACUGGGCGUAAAGGGCGCGUAGGCGGCCCGCUAAGUCGAACGUGAAAUCCCCGAGCUCAACUCGGGAACUGCGUCCGAUACUGGUGGGCUUGAAUCCGGGAGAGGGAUGCGGAAUUCCAGGUGUAGCGGUGAAAUGCGUAGAUAUCUGGAGGAACACCGGUGGCGAAGGCGCAUCCUGGACCGGCAUUGACGCUGAGGAGCGAAAGCCAGGGGAGCAAACGGG
rnacentral:rRNA from 1 species